rnacentral:rRNA from 1 species
GACGAACGCUGGCGGCGUGCUUAACACAUGCAAGUCGAACGGAAAGGCCCUGCUUGUUUGGGGUGCUCGAGUGGCGAACGGGUGCGUAACACGUGAGUAACCUGCCCUUGACUUUGGUAUAACUUCAGGAAACUGGGGCUAAUCACGGAUAGGAGCUCCUGCUGCAUGGUGGGGGUUGGAACGUUUCGGCGGUUGGGGAUGGACUCGCGGCUUAUCAGCUUGCUGGUGGGGGAGUGGCUUACCCAGGCUUUGACGGGUAGCCGGCCUGAGAGGGUGACCGGCGACAUUGGGACUGAGGUACGGAGCAGACUGCAACGGGAGGCAGCAGGGGGGAAUAUUGCACAAUGGGCGGAAGCCUGAUGAAGCAACGCCGCGUGCGGGAUGACGGCCUUCGGGUUGUAAACAGCUUUCGCCUGUGACGAAGCGUGAGUGACGGUAAUGGGUAAAGAAGCACCGGCUAACUCCGUG